GCCUCUCUGUAAAGCAAGGGUACCCUCCCCAGAACCUACAAGUGUGGGAUACUUUAUGCACCGAGUCACCCUUUUAUCCAUUUUGUAUUAUUGAUAUGUUGAGUAAAAAAAUAAAAUUUUUAUUAGGCCUCAUUUGGUUCAACAUAACUUAUUUCUUGGAAAGUGAACUUCCCAGGAAGUACAAUUACUUUGAAGUUAUUUCCUAGGAAGUAUAGUUUGAAUCUAUUUGGUUGGUAUGUUGAAUUCUCUUAUGAGAGUUGCGGAGAUAAGAAUG
rnacentral:misc_RNA from 1 species